CCUACGGGCGGCUGCAGUAGGGAAUCUUCCACAAUGGACGAAAGUCUGAUGGAGCAACGCCGCGUGAGCGAUGAAGGCCUUCGGGUCGUAAAGCUCUGUUGUUAGGGAAGAACAAGUACCGGAGUAACUGCCGGUACCUUGACGGUACCUAACCAGAAAGCCACGGCUAACUACGUGCCAGCAGCCGCGGUAAUACGUAGGUGGCAAGCGUUGUCCGGAAUUAUUGGGCGUAAAGCGCGCGCAGGCGGUCCUUUAAGUCUGAUGUGAAAGCCCACGGCUCAACCGUGGAGGGUCAUUGGAAACUGGGAGACUUGAGUGCAGAAGAGGAAAGCGGAAUUCCACGUGUAGCGGUGAAAUGCGUAGAGAUGUGGAGGAACACCAGUGGCGAAGGCGGCUUUCUGGUCUGUAACUGACGCUGAGGCGCGAAAGCGUGGGGAGCAAACAGGAUUAGAUACCCGAGUAGU
rnacentral:rRNA from 1 species